rnacentral:rRNA from 1 species
GACGAAGGAUGCAAGCGUUAUCCGGAUUCAUUGGGUUUAAAGGGUGCGUAGGCGGACCUGUAAGUCAGUGGUGAAAUCUCUCAGCUUAACUGAGAAACUGCCAUUGAUACUGCAAGUCCAGAGUAUAGAUGACGUUGGCGGAAUAUGACAUGUAGUGGUGAAAUACUUAGAUAUGUCAUAGAACACCGAUUGCGAAGGCAGCUAACGAAACUAUAACUGACGCUGAGGCACGAAAGCGUGGGGAGCAAACAGG